GAUGAACGCUGGCGGCGUGCUUAACACAUGCAAGUCGAACGAUGAACCGGGUGCUUGCACUCGGGGAUUAGUGGCGAACGGGUGAGUAACGCGUGAGCAACCUGCCCCUGACUCUGGGAUAAGCGCUGGAAACGGCGUCUAAUACUGGAUAUGUCCCGUCACCGCAUGGUGUGCGGGUGGAAAGAUUUUUCGGUUGGGGAUGGGCUCGCGGCCUAUCAGCUUGUUGGUGAGGUAAUGGCUCACCAAGGCGUCGACGGGUAGCCGGCCUGAGAGGGUGACCGGCCACACUGGGACUGAGACACGGCCCAGACUCCUACGGGAGGCAGCAGUGGGGAAUACUGCACAAUGGGCGGAAGCCUGAUGCAGCAACGCCGCGUGAGGGGUGACGGCCUUCGGGUUGUAAACCUCUUUUAGCAGGGAAGAAGCGAGAGUGACGGUACCUGCAGAAAAAGCGCCGGCUAACUACGUGCCAGCCGCCGCCGUAA
rnacentral:rRNA from 1 species